ensembl:ncRNA F16H9.6 ncRNA
GAGAGAGCAGCAGAAGGAAAAAAGAAACAAGGAAAGAAGACACCCUUUUUCUUAUUUUUUCUCCCUUUUCUCCUGAGCAAGCUACAAGGCUCGUCGAAUCCGAAUCCGAAGCAGCAGCCGCCGUUGCUCUUCUGUGUCUCAAU